rnacentral:rRNA from 1 species
UACGAAGGGGGCUAGCGUUGCUCGGAAUCACUGGGCGUAAAGGGUGCGUAGGCGGGUCUUUAAGUCAGGGGUGAAAUCCUGGAGCUCAACUCCAGAACUGCCUUUGAUACUGAGGAUCUUGAGUUCGGGAGAGGUGAGUGGAACUGCGAGUGUAGAGGUGAAGUCCGUAGAUAUUAGGAGGAAUACCAGAGGCGAAGGCGACUAGCUGGGCCAUUACUGACGCUAAGGUACGAAAGCGUGGGGAGCAAACAGG